rnacentral:rRNA from 1 species
UCCGUAGGUGAACCUGCGGAAGGAUCAUUGAAUCUAUCGUGCCCACACCGCGAAACUACUUAUGCCCUUCUGGAACAGGCAAACUUUAUUGUUUGCCCUUCAGUUGCGCAGGUCAGGGGCUGGCUCCUUUUGGUGUCAGUUGACUUGACUGGGCGGGUCCAAUACCAGCCGGAUUCACCUUGCCUUCUAGGCUUGGGGUUCUGCCGGCUGUGAGGGGUGGCUGUUUAACUCACUUUAAGCAAUCAAUUCUGAAGGCAGAUCUAUAGGCUGGCUAUGCUGGCUGUAGUCUGAUUAAAUAUAGACAACUCUCAACAACGGAUAUCUUGGCUCCCGUAACGAUGAAGAACGCAGCGAAAUGCGAUACGUAGUGUGAAUUGCAGAAUUCCGUGAACCAUCGAAUCUUUGAACGCAAAUUGCGCUCGAGGCCUCGGCCAAGAGCAUGUCUGCCUCAGCGUCGGCUACUACCCUCAACUAAGUUUCCUAUACACAUAGGGGAUGCCGGUUGGAUCUGGCCGUCCGGUUUGCCUUUUAGGUUGCCGGUCAGCUGAAAUACAUUCACGCUCUGGGGGCUGCUUUCCUUCCGAGGAGAGGCGAGUUCCGAUUUGGUAGGUGACCUUUGCCGGUUGCAUGCCUUCGUUGCCCGCUAAGCUUUCCAGUAUGCGUUGUGCAGGACGCCUUUUGGCUUUCGACCUGAGGUCAGGCAAGAACACCCGCUGAACUUAAGCAUAUCAAUAAGCGGAGGA